AAGAACACAGGAUCUCAUACGCGGGACGCAGACCAAUGAACUCUUCGCCGAUUUGAUCAGUGGAUCGGUGAGCGGGUCAAUCCUGGACAGCCCAGAGGGAGACCCGUGGUCCGCGGAACAGGAGCCCUCUGCGAUCGAGUUGUUGGGAAGCACUCCAACGGGUGGUAAAUCCAUUAAGGUAAAUCUGGCGAGAGCCGAUACGACAAGUACUGUGAAGGAAAGAUGAAAACACUUUGAAAAGAGAGUGAACAGCACGUGAAAUUGUUGAAAGGGAAGGGUAUUGCGCCCGACAUGGGGAUUGCGCACCGCUGCCUCUCGUGGGCGGCGCUCUGGGCUUUCCCUGGGCCAGCAUCGGUUCUUGCUGCAGGAGAAGGGGUUCUGGAACGUGGCUCUUCGGAGUGUUAUAGCCAGGGCCAGAUGCUGCGUGCGGGGACCGAGGACUGCGGCCGUGUAGGUCACGGAUGCUGGCAGAACGGCGCAACACCGCCCGUCUUGAAACACGGACC
rnacentral:rRNA from 1 species